rnacentral:rRNA from 1 species
GGGGAAUCUUGCGCAAUGGGCGAAAGCCUGACGCAGCCAUGCCGCGUGAAUGAUGAAGGUCUUAGGAUUGUAAAAUUCUUUCACCGGGGACGAUAAUGACGGUACCCGGAGAAGAAGCCCCGGCUAACUUCGUGCCAGCAGCCGCGGUAAUACGAAGGGGGCUAGCGUUGCUCGGAAUUACUGGGCGUAAAGGGCGCGUAGGCGGACAUUUAAGUCAGGGGUGAAAUCCCGGGGCUCAACCUCGGAACUGCCUUUGAUACUGGGUGUCUUGAGUGUGAGAGAGGUAUGUGGAACUCCGAGUGUAGAGGUGAAAUUCGUAGAUAUUCGGAAGAACACCAGUGGCGAAGGCGACAUACUGGCUCAUUACUGACGCUGAGGCGCGAAAGCGUGGGGAGCAAAC